GCUAGCUCGGCACCCUAGGAGAAAACCCGACGUGACACCGUGGUUAAUGCGAAAAACGUAGAAGCCGGUUCUUGUGUUGAAGACGGUCCUUGUCCCAUGCCCCAACGCACACAUUAAUUCAAAUCGAUCCCGUGCGGCCGGCGCGGCAAUUUUUCUUUUUGCUCUGUUUCUCCCCCAAUGCAACCAGCAACAGCUCGUCUCGCCCUCCUGGCCGCACCACGCCCUUUCCAUCUCCGUCGGCGGCGCGGCGCAUCUCCGUACUGCAGCCUUCCAAUCUGCAGUUCCGUUGACGUCCCCGGUCCAUCAACGCCGGUCCCCUAGCCAUCUCAGCCGCGGCCAACAACUCCACCCCGGCCAAAUUUCAAUGGAAAGCAGUAGGGAGAAGAAGGCUCCAGGGCAGUACCGUUUGGUUUGGCUGAUCCCAGUCGCUCCUCCGCCAACAAGGGCAUGCAGCUCUAAUCAGGGGGGAAUCAUGGAAAAUAUAUUCCGUUUUGGCAUUGCUUGUGUGUUCUAGAAGAAGCAGCUAAUAACAAAAGAAUGCAAUCUGUCGGUUGGUUCUCUGAAAUCGAUUGUUGCUAGAAGAUGUGCGCAGCAAAUUGUUAAUUUUGUUUGGUGGCUAGUACUUGUAGUACUGAAUUUUUGGGUGAGUUGAGGUCGAGCGUGGUGUGGUUUUGGAGCAGGUUCAGCAGUCACAAGGUAGCUUGUUUCGUCAGUUCAAGUAGCAUGACAAUUUCUGCAUUGCCCAAACUCAACUCAAAAGGGAAUUCAGUUUUGCGUUCAAUUCAUAA